GUCCACGCCGUAAACGAUGAGUGCUAGCUGCUGGGAAUGUUUACCGUCUCAGUGGCGAAGCUAACGCAUUAAGCACUCCGCCUGGGAAGUACGGCCGCAAGGCUAAAACUCAAAGGAAUUGACGGGGGCCCCGCACAAGCGGUGGAGCAUGUGGUUUAAUUCGAAGCAACGCGCAGAACCUUACCCAGGCUUGACAUCUCCGGAACCCUGCGGAAACGUGGGGGUGCCUUCUCACGAAGGAGCCGGAUGACAGGUGCUGCAUGGCUGUCGU
rnacentral:rRNA from 1 species